CAUGCCAGUGCCCUGUCACUGCCCAUGCUGUUGCCCCUCAGUGCCAAGCCACAGCCCCCGCCAGCCCUGCUGCUGCCCCUCACUCCCAACCCACUGACCCCAGCCCUGCCAGUGCCCCUCACCCCCAAACUGCAGUACCCUGCCCCCCGGGCCAUGAUGCUGCCCCUCACUCCAGACAUCAAGUAACUGGGAAUUACUGGUUGUGGUUUCAACUUGCUCUUCCUUCUUUCUUUCAUACAGCUACAGAAAACUGGAGAGCUUCUUAUCCCAGGAUACAACCAUGGGAUCCUUUGGAGACACAGGAAGGGAAGGAGAAGAUGCUAUUGAGGCUAACUUGGCCCUGGUUGAGCACUGAGGAAAAGGGCUGAGGGCUCAACCCAACAAGAACAGUUUUUCUGUUGGCUUUUUUGGUAAUUGAACUGACCCCUAAAUUCUGCUUCCAGUUUCAUUGGUUGCCGUCCAUUGACUCUGGGGGAUUUACAUAAGCAAAACCUGAUUAUUAAAGUGUUUUGUGUUGGA